CUCGCGCCUUCCGAAGGCAGCAGGGCUAGUCCGCGAGGCCGCAGCAGGGCUAGUCCGCGAGGCCUCCGCAGCGCCUCUUAGUUUGUCCUCUUCUGCCUCCAGAGUCGGUGCGUCCCUGAACACCCACGCUGCGCCCAAAUCUGGCUGCUCUGCUAAAUGACCGCGACAAGCGCAGGGACGACAGUGUGGUCCCAGCUUCUUCCUGCUCCAGGACCUCCGGGCGCGGCGGGGAGUGUCCGGGUCCCACCCUGAGCAGGUUGAAUCUUUUUAUCUGCUUGGGAAGUCCCCUGCGUUUCAGGUGUGUGGGCGUCCGGGGUUGGGGGUGUAAACAUGCGCGUCAGUUGGUUUCCACAGAUGGUCGCUGGGAGCCCUACCCCAGCCAAGGCGAAGAGCGCAGAGUCUGCACCUUGGACUGCAGAACCCACAUCUGCUUGGAGACAUCAUCCAGGGGCCGUGGAGUGGGACCACAUUAGCAAAGCUCUUCCUCUCUGCGGAGGGAUGCUGAUGGACGUGAAGGAGACCACUCCCCUACCACUGAGCUAAAAAGCACCUGGCCGGGAGUCAUCCCCAAGUCGGCCCCUCCUGACUUGGCUAGCCCCUACGAGCUGGAGGGAGGGAGAAGCAGGCAACAGCCGGAAAACCGGGGAGAAGGGGCUUCCCGUGACUGAACAAGGUAGUGGAGUGAGAAUCCAGACUUCAUUCCCCCCCCCCACACACACACACACACAAACACACAUCAAAUAUUUACAGUAAAAAGAUUUCUAAGGGCGUCUGAAGAAUCAACAGGCAGGUUGGGAAGUCAACAGGUCACCAACACCAGGCUGGGUCAAUAGCUCCAUUAGACCGUUAUCUUUCCCAAAUAGGCAGGGCAUAAGGGAGGAGUGUCAGUUCCUAAAGCUGUGGCUUCCUACGCAGGUGAG
rnacentral:lncRNA from 1 species